rnacentral:rRNA from 1 species
UACGGGGGGGGCAAGCGUUGUUCGGAAUUACUGGGCGUAAAGGGCGCGUAGGCGGUUUGCUAAGUUGAAUGUGAAAUCCCUCGGCUUAACCGGGGAACUGCGUCUGAUACUGGAUGGCUUGAGUUUGGGAGAGGGAUGCGGAAUUCCAGGUGUAGCGGUGAAAUGCGUAGAUAUCUGGAGGAAUACCGGUGGCGAAGGCGGCAUCCUGGACCAAUACUGACGCUGAGGCGCGAAAGCUAGGGGAGCAAACGGG